UACGUAGGGAGCAAGCGUUUGUCCGGAAUCAUUGGGCGUAAGCGCGCGUAGGCGGCCCUGUAAGUCCGCUGUGAAAGUCAAAGGCUCAACCCUUUGAAAGCCGGUGGAUACUGCAGGCUAGAGUCCGGAAGAGGCGAGUGGAAUUCCUGGUGUAGCGGUGGAAAUGCGCAGAUAUCAGGAGGAACACCAAUAGCGAAGGCAGCUCGCUGGGACGGUACUGACGCUAAG
rnacentral:rRNA from 1 species